rnacentral:rRNA from 1 species
GAUGAACGCUGGCGGCGUGCCUAAUACAUGCAAGUCGAGCGAACAGACGAGGAGCUUGCUCCUCUGACGUCAGCGGCGGACGGGUGAGUAACACGUGGAUAACCUACCUAUAAGACUGGGAUAACUUCGGGAAACCGGAGCUAAUACCGGAUAAUAUAUUGAACCGCAUGGUUCAAUAGUGAAAGACGGUUUUGCUGUCACUUAUAGAUGGAUCCGCGCCGCAUUAGCUAGUUGGUAAGGUAACGGCUUACCAAGGCGACAAUGCGUAGCCGACCUGAGAGGGUGAUCGGCCACACUGGAACUGAGACACGGUCCAGACUCCUACGGGAGGCAGCAGUAGGGAAUCUUCCGCAAUGGGCGAAAGCCUGACGGAGCAACGCCGCGUGAGUGAUGAAGGUCUUCGGAUCGUAAAACUCUGUUAUUAGGGAAGAACAAAUGUGUAAGUAACUAUGCACGUCUUGACGGUACCUAAUCAGAAAGCCACGGCUAACUACGUG